GAAAUCAGGAAAACGUGAAAAGCUGUGUGGAGAAAGCCAACGCAAAGGUUGGAAACGUCGUCGCUGAGGUUGGAAACGUCGUUGCGAAUGUGGUCGCAAAAGUUGAACUGGUUCAAGAACAACUUAACAAGCAGGAAGAAUGCAAUCGUCGGCUCAAAGCGGACAAUGUGGAAAUGAAGAAAAGUUUAAAUGAAAUUACGAAACAACUGGAAAGAAUGACUCGACAAACAUCGCACGAAGUUCAGGCGGAAGAAAUGAGAAAAGGGACUGCAGAAGGCGGAGUGGACCGAGAGCCGAAGGUCGUUGUUGCUGGAGGUUACAACGGAAGUGGAAAUUCAAAUUC